CAGGACUUCCAGAGCCACUAUUUCAGGCAAUUCUUUACAAACCAUUCUUAGUUUGAAUUUAUUUAUAUUAUUCUUUGUUCUGCCGUAGUCAUUUCUGUGUCCGAUUAUUUAUACAUCUUUUUGGCAAUUGCAUUAAUAAAGUGGAUUACUGUUGUUCAUUUGAACGAAGACUACGAGUCAAGAGAAAGUGCAUUUCGCAUGAAGCCAAGCUCUAUAAGGUCAUUCAAUGUCAACAAGGACAUAAAAGAGUGUUGCACAAGCAGAAAACAGUGGAGAGAUCCACCCUGAUGAACUUUUUGCCAAUAUAAACAUUUUUCGAGUUUCUGUCCAAUGUGUGGACAACCAAGAAGGCCAAGAUGGUCAAAUUGUGUUUGACAUGUUGUCAUAUCCCAUUGGGAUUUCAGAAGACAUAUUUGAGGACAACACAUUAAUGGAGUCUACCAUACAGCUUAUGGUCCAGUGCAUGGAGAACCAUGGAGGCCUAAAUGGACAAAUCGUGUUUGAUGAUGUGUCGUACCCCAUCAAUCUCCAACCUCAAGAUGACCAAGAUGACCUUGAUUAUCAAGAAGAUUAUUGAUAAUCAAGGCAUCUACAUGGAAGAAAAUGAAAGCUAGAAAUUGGAUUAAUAUCUAACUGAUGUGAACCUAUCACAGUCUGUCUCCCUCAUGUCUUCCCAGGACUCUUAUUUUGAAAUCUUCCCCCAGACUACAUCUCAUCACUUCCAUCUGUUCCUUAUCAUCCUCACCUGUCUUCAAUUCCCUCAUUUUGCUCCUUUUGUAUAAAUAUCCUCUAGUUUGCCUAUUCCUUUGUCAGUCCUUGAAGUGUUACAUUAUGUUGAUGAAGUGUUUUGUUAUUUUGUGAUGUUUAGCUUUAUCAGUUUUUUUCCACUCCAGCGUUUAUAAUUAAAAGAUUGAAAGUAUAUACUCCUGCAUCUCCUCUCUUCCUCUCCAAGAACCCAACGUUACAGAACCUCAUUAUGGGGAAGAUCUGAAGAAAAAGCGAGAGCUGUAAAGGGCUAAUUUUUCUUCAGUGGCACUCACUGCUGAUGUUAUACAUAAAGCUGCUUCUGGGCAACAGAGUUUGGUUACCCAUUUGCAAUUUGUGGAACGUCUUUUUAGUAGGCACUUUCUUCCCCAAAGGGACUUGCACUGCUACAAUUGGGAACACUGAAUGGACAAUUCAUAUGGAGAAGCUGUGGAUAAGUGACUUGCUCAGGGGAACAGUGGUGAUGGAGGAAUCUCAGUGACAAUGCAGUUCAUGAGAUGCAUAGACUGUACUAUUUGUGGUAUUCCUCAUUUUUGACCACUGGGUUCGAUCAAGUUUGAACUGUUUUGUGCUUUUCACACUUGAAGUGGUUAACCCAUUUUUAAUCCUGUCUCUUCAUCACUCCAGUUAUUGCAACUGCAUUAACUGUUUUCCUCAUACAGUUGCAAUCGAAAUUAUUCAACCCCUCCAAGACAGUAAUGAUUUACAAAGGUAAGCUUUUCUGAUGACCCAGAAUUUUUAAACUUUACAUCUAUAUCAGUUGAGUGACACAUUCAAAGUCAUAGUGUGAAUAUAUAACCUAAUAUUUCUAAAUAGCGGGAUUUAAAAAAAAUACCGCCAUGUCAUAAUUUUUCAACCCCUAUUGCAUGUAGCCGUUUCUUAAAUAUGUAAGGCUACACAAGUAAUUGAUUUAAAACAAAAUUAAGUCAUCAAUCUGCAUUGGCACUUAAGUUUUAAAAUGUAAGUUUAGCGUUGUAAGCAAAAAUGCAAUUAAAAUGCAAUUAAAAAUAAGCUGUCUCAAAAGCUAAUAGAGGAGAUUAUUUCAUUACACAAGAAAGGUCAUGGCUAAAAGUACAUUUCCAAGGCACUUUAAUUUCCAAUAGACAAAGUUGGCAGCACCAUUCAUAAAUAUGGUACAACAGCAACCUUCUUAGGGUGUGGAAGAAAGCAAAAUUUCAAGGGAAAUGUUGACUCCAGUUGACUGAAUAUUCAAGAAGUAAUUAGGAAAGACCUGUGGAGUCCUGGAAGAAGGUUUUAUAGACGUAUGACACUAAAUUGAAAAUGAGUUUUAGACCCAUGGGUCAGCAGUAUGUCUGGAGUAAGAUGACAAGAAUGACACCAUCCCCACAGUCAAGCAUGGAGGUGGGUCAGUCCUGUUAUGGGGGUGUUUUGCGGCUGCAGGAAACAGCUAUCCUGACUAUGUGACUGACACCAUGGAUUCUUUCAGGUAUCAGGCCAUUUUGGCAUGAAAAAUGUGAUGCCUUCAGUGUGUAAAUUGAAGCUUGGUGAUCACUGGACUUUCCAGCAAGACAAUAACACCAAGGAUACAUCCAAGUUGUCCAAAAUCUGGUUCAGGGAUAGGUUGUGGAAUGUCCUUAAAUGGCCCUUUUAGUCUAUCAUUAAAAUCCCAUUGCAAACCUUUGUUGGGAUUUCAAGGAAGCAGUGGCACCACAGAAACCAAAGAAUGUCAAUGAGCUGGAAGAUUUUGCUCAUGAGAAAUGUGUAGAAAUUCUAAUAGAGAGGUGUCCGAAGCCUGAGAACACUUACCUGAAACAUUUAUUUGCUGUUAUAAAGGAUGCUCCACAAAUGAUUGACUUUGGGGGUUGAAUAUUUUUGACAUGACAUUUGUGGAGAGAAUUUGUUAUUUUUUAUUUUAAAAUUUGUGUAAACUGAACUCUUUGUUCUCAAUCACUCAUGUGUAUUAAAAAUGUACUUUGUUUACUGAGGUUUCAAUUCACAUCAACAGAAUUUAUUGCUGGUGAGGGGGGUUGAAUAAUUUUGAUUGCAACUGUAUGGCGACCAUGCACAUAAAAGAUUCUGUGACUGUUCAAAGCUUAUGAAUAUUUAAUGAGGCAUUCACUGAGGCCAUUUAUGGCUGGGCGUCUGUUGCUAAACAACUCUUUGUAACAUUCUAGCACCACAUCAUUUCACACUGUAUACUUUUGGCACAAUCUGGGGUUAACCCUACAAAAGUGAGGCUAACCCUGCUCUGAAGGGUUUCAUAUCCCAGGGUAAAAAGCGAUGCUUAUCCUCUUUCAAAAUUACAAGUGUGAAACAUUGCUUAUUGUGGGGUUUAAAAAGACAUUAUAAAAAAAUUUUACUCUUUUGUAUGCACAUUACACAGUUAGGUCUGAUGCUAAAUGGUUUAUGAAGGCAAUAUAUGUUAAUCAAUGUGAGAACACAUAUUUUUGAUGAUAAAUAGAUAUAGGCCUAUAUAUUAUUCUUGUUGCACUCUAAUCUCUGUCUUGGAUAGUACAUUGUAAUGCAGCACUUUUCGUACUAAUGUCUCGUUAAGGUGGAUCGCUUAUGUUCUAUUCUUCCUCUUUUUGUAAGUUGCUUUGGAUAAAAGCGUCUACCAAAUGAAUAAAUCUAAAUGCAAAUGUAAGUCCCUUG